UUACAGCCAUAUCACAUUGAAACACCAGUUCCCAUACAACUACUGAAGUUAAGCAAUGUUGAGCAUAGUCAGUACCUAGAUGGGUGACUGCUUGGAAAUACCAGGUGCUGUAAG